GGAAGGGUGGCCGAGCGGUUUAAGGCGCAGGUCUCGAAAACCUGUGUCCGACUAUCGUCGGACCGAGGGUUCGAAUCCCUCCCCUUCCG
rnacentral:tRNA from 1 species